rnacentral:rRNA from 1 species
AGUGAACGCUGGCGGUAGGCCUAACACAUGCAAGUCGAACGGCAGCACAGUAAGAGCUUGCUCUUACGGGUGGCGAGUGGCGGACGGGUGAGGAAUACAUCGGAAUCUACUUUUUCGUGGGGGAUAACGUAGGGAAACUUACGCUAAUACCGCAUACGACCUACGGGUGAAAGCAGGGGAUCUUCGGACCUUGCGCGAUUGAAUGAGCCGAUGUCGGAUUAGCUAGUUGGCGGGGUAAAGGCCCACCAAGGCGACGAUCCGUAGCUGGUCUGAGAGGAUGAUAAGCCACACUGGAACUGAGACACGGUCCAGAGUCCUACGGGAGGCAGCAGUGGGGAAUAUUGGACAAUGGGCGCAAGCCUGAUCCAGCCAUACCGCGUGGGUGAAGAAGGCCUUCGGGUUGUAAAGCCCUUUUGUUGGGAAAGAAAAGCAGCAGGUUAAUACCCCGCUGUUCUGACGGUACCCAAAGAAUAAGCACCGGCUAACUUCGUG